rnacentral:lncRNA from 1 species
GAUAUUGAUCUAAUUCGAUCCAUAAACCAUUCAACAUACCAUAGUAGUUUGUUACUGAAAGGCUCCCUUGGCUGGUAUGAAAGAUCUUGUUUUCUAUCUCGUACCAUGCUGCAGUAUCUUUUUUCAUGGAGUAUGUUUGACAAAGGUUUUCCCAAAUCUCCUUAGCAGUGGAGAAGAACAUACAAUUUCGGCUAAUCUCUGGCGUCAUAGAAUUCCAUAACCAGGUCAUGAUAAGAGAGUCUUCAUCGUCCCAGUCUUCAUAUUUCGAAUCAGUUUUGGCUGGAGGGUUCCCUUCUAGGUGACUCAAUUUCUUCCUUCCUUUGAGAGUAGCACGAACCAACUGGGCCCAUUGCAGGUAGUUGUUUCCAUCGAGACGAUAACUGCUUUGCAACAUCGGCAAAUCAUUGGAGCUAAGAGAGGUUGUGUUGUUAGUUGCCAUUGGUAAGAGUUGACCGAAAUACGACAAAACUGGAGGUGAUUUUUGUUUGAAAAAAAAUGCUGGAAAAAAAAAAAAUUUCAGCAGCAGCGGUCAACGUCGGAGGUCGGCGUCGGAGGUCGGCUACGUCGGUCGGCACGUCGGUUACGUCGGUCAGCACGUCUGUCAACGUCAGUCGGCAGCGGCGGUCGGCUACGUCGGUCGGCAGCGGAGGUCGGCUACGUCGGUCAACGUCGGGCAGCAGCGGAGGUCGGCUACGUCUGUCGGCAGCGGAGGUCGGCAGCGGAGGUAGAGGUCGGCUACAGAGGUCGGCAGCGGAGGUCGGCAGCGGUAGUAUUUGCAGCAAUAAAGGCUGCCUAGAAAAGUAUUUGCAGCAAUGAAGGCUGCCAAAAAAUUGUAGAAACAGAGUCUCCCAGAUCAGGAGCUCUGAUACCAAGUUGAAAGGAAUAGAAAGAAAUAGA